CUCAUUUUCAGCCAAGAGCCUCUUUUCCCUUGGUGGUGUCCCACGGCUCGUCACACAGUUUUAUGCUCCUGUCCACUUUGCGGCUGAUCACACAUGCUCCUUAAGCUCACAAGGGAAUUUCAAAGUGUGAACAGCCUCAUGAUUGCCAAGUGAGAGCUUGCGGAGAGGUGUAAGAGAAUGCCACUCCCGUGCUGAGUCCCAGUCUGAGCUGUCCCUCAGAGUCCCGGAUACUGGAAUUGGUCCCUAGCCUGAGGUGUUAUCGGGAGGUGGUGACCGCGUGAAGAGGUGAGGCUUCUUUCUCUCCCUCGUUCUUUCCACCCACCCGUGUAUUCCUUGUGGUACCCAACCUCAGUUGUGUCUGCCUGCACUGCCAGGGUUAGAGACGCAGCCAGGGGCUCAGGCAAGCGCUUUGCCAGUGAGCCCAAGUCCCAGCUCCGAUUUAUCUUUCUCACAUCUCCCUCCUACAAAUGAGCAGAUCCAUGGACACUUUCACAGAGCCGUCCUGGUUUUGGAGGCAUUUAAACCUAGAAUUCAGCAUUUGUGUAUAAUUGUUUAUUUUUAUUUUGGAGAAAAAAAUCCAAAUGCAAUAAAAGACAUGGCUCUGUUAAUAAUAGUUUUUAAAAUGGCUGGGGAUCAACCCGGGCCAUGCCUAUGCUGGCAGACACACUGCCUCUGAGCUCUACCCUCAGCUCCAGACGUCUGCCUCUCUCUCCAGCACACCAUCAGAUGUGUUCUGCUGGAGCUCAACCUUGGCCAAACAAGGUCCAUGACCUUCCUGACUUCCCGAAGCUCCCUCCCUCCAGCUCCUCAGAUAGGUAUUCUAAUUUCUCCCUUCCAUAGACAAGAUUGCCUUCCCAGGAAUAUCAUAUAAAUGGGUAAAGCUUCCCUCGCUCAGCAUAACGUUUCUGUAGUGUAUCCACACCAUGGAUCGUAUCAACUCAUUCUUCUUGUUGAGGGAGAAAAAGAAAAAGAAAGACAAGACCUGGAAUGGAGGUACGUUUGCUCCAGGAUGCUUUAAACAAACAUAACGUCGUGUGGAAUCUGAUUUUGAAUGAAUUGGAGUACAGUAAACCUCAAAAUAUCCCGGCACUGCCUGCCGCGGCUCACCAAACAGGAAAAUGACUUCAGCGGCGUGCUCUUUCCCCUGGAGUCACACCAGGCAGCUCUUUGUACUCUCUUGAAAACAUCUUAAUUCUUCCCCAAGCACCAUGUUUCUUGGAAUUAUUCACCGGAAAUUAAUAGUACUCUGAAUCUUAAAGUCAUUCAAACCACAAGCGACUUUGCAACAACUCCUAGCCGAAGUAUAAAAAGCGCCCAGCAGUUUACGAUAGCAUUAGUCAUCACCGCACACAGCUCUCUCCCCCACCCCACCCCAAAGAUGUGUAUUUCCCCGUGUUAGCUAGCUGGUGUUGGGACUGACAGGCGAGAUAAGCAAGUGAAACACACCGGCAGUGUCAGGGCUGGGGUGGAGGCCAGAUAAGGACAGGAACUUCAAGGUGUGGGAGUAGAAGCAACAGGAGAUGAAAAAUAAGAGGUGGUCAAGGAGGGUGUCGCUGAGAGUGUGAUUUUGGAGUCAAGACUUCAGUAGUCAUCAGAACAGCCCGGAAAGAGCAAGUGUGAUAUGUAAAGGGCAGGGGGCACAAUGUGCUGGGCUCCCCCAUAGUGUGGGGAAGGAUAAGAGCAAGGCGUCUGUGCUGUAGCGUGGAAGGCGGACUUGUUGGAGAGACAGAGGCUCACUGGGCCAGAACUGUAGCAGAGGUUCUGCACGGAAUGGCCAUCCCAAUGCUCACAGUUCGGCUCUGUCCAGGCAAGCGGGGAGAAGGAUGCUGCCCAGCGAAGGAGUCAAUGGGUGAUGUUGUUUUUAGAAGGCAGUAUGUCCUGCUCUAGGGCUGGCUUCCUGUGUCCUUCUGAGUACCUCCUGGGAAAGAUAAGAGCUCAGUCGUCCAUGGCUGAUGAGAAUUAGACCCUGCUUCCAGUUUCCUCCCGCUGCUCUUGACCUGGUGGCACCCUGGAGCUGGCUACUUGACCUUCCUGGUUGCUUAGUUUCCUCAUGGAGAGGAUAAUUGUUCAUUACAUGAUGGAACUGUGUGGUCAGUUAAUAACGUGGUAACAGCCCUGUGGCCGUCAAGGGUUCUGAGUGUCUUUGAAAGAGUCACGACACAAACUGAAGCAGUGACAUUAGUGUCACUAUUAUAAGAAACACAUGGAGUGUUGGUACCAAAAACAGUUCAGGGACAGGAAAACUGUGGGCGACAGGGAGGGGACGGGUACAGAGCCGGGACAGGAUGAGUGUCAACGAGAAUGACGUUUAUAGUCAGGAUGUUUUGAGGCUAUAUGAGUGAGGACUUGGGAGGGGGUGGCCUGUUAGCAGGGUGAGGCCAAGAGCCAGUGUUAGAACAGAUCAGUGCCUGA